GGUUGGAUAGCUCAGUUGGUAGAGCACUGGAGCAGCAAUCCGAAGGUCGCAGGUUCAAACCCCGCUCCAGUCA
rnacentral:tRNA from 1 species